rnacentral:rRNA from 1 species
CCGUUCAGAGUGAACGCUGGCGGCGUGCUUAACACAUGCAAGUCGAACGAGAACGGAUUAAAGCUUGCUAUAAUUUUCAGUUAAGCGGCGCACGGGUGAGUAAUAUAUAGGUAACAUGCCCUAGAGAGGGGGAUACCAGAUGGAAACGUCUGCUAACACCCCAUAUGCCUUUAAGACNUAAGUCUCCAAGGGAAACAUUUAUGGCUCUAGGAUUGGCCUGUACGGUAUCAGAUAGUUGGUGAGGUAAUGGCUCACCAAGUCAAUGACACCUAACUGGUUUGAGAGGAUGAUCAGUCACACUGGAACUGAGACACGGUCCAGACUCCUACGGGAGGCAGCAGUGGGGAAUAUUGCACAAUGGAGGAAAGUUAGAGUCAGCAACGCCGCGUG